CCUCCCCUCCAUCCAUCUCUCCUUCUCUCUCUGUCCCUCCUUCUCUCAUCUCUCUCAGGUCUUUGGGGUGCUUGGUGACUUGCUUUUUCAAACUCCUGUUCUUCCCUUACUCUGCAGCUGGGAGAAUUCAGCAUAACCAAAGCCCAGGAAGCAGAGGCAGAGGGUUAACCUCAGAGCAGGAAGGACAGAGACUUUUUCCCUGCUCAUCUCUGUGUCUUCUCUGCUCCUGUUUUUGUUGAAGAGCUGAGAGAGCCUCCACCAGCUGACCGUGGAGUGAGAUGCUGGGAAGCUGAAGGCUGUAGGAUGAGCAGAAAUGCCAGUGACUGUCCCAUUCUGGAGGCCGAGGACAGGGGAGGGGCUAAAUCAGGAUUUUCCAGAGGGGCAGCAGUGAGUUAGAGCUUGAAAUUAAGGAUGUAGCAGGAAUAGCAGGAGCUCACCUUUAAGGACAGGCAAGCAGCCUGUCAGCCAGUCACCUGACCAAAUAUACUGUCCCUCCAAUGCGGUCUUCAAAGUACAGGGAGGCAGAAAUGAAUACACUACAGUCUGUUUUGAAGAGUAAACCCACUGAAGUGGACAGACAUGAAAGCCAAUAGAUUGUCCACUGUGCCAAUAUCAAGUUCAAAGAUGAUAUAACCCACUGAUAAAACUUGUGUACCAGAACUACAUCACAGGAAUUUAGAAUCCUGACAGUGGAACUUACUUGCUGUGUGGCCUUAGGCAAGCUCCUUAACUUCUCUGUUUCUCUGUUUCAUUAUGGAUAAAAUCAAAGAAAUAGCUGCAUACGCCAUAGAGUUUUUUUAGAUGUAAGCAUAAUUCACAUAAAUUAUUUUGCUUUAGCUUUUUACCCAGCAAUUAUGAGUUAAAUAUUAGAUAAUACCAGGGAUGAUUUUAGAUACUGUAUUGGGUACUUUAACCACUACCAGAAACCCUGGAAAAACUUUACAAGCAUCAACUUAUUGAAUAUUUUUGAAAAUUAAUCAGUAUUUACCUGAUGGACUUGUCCCAUGAGGAAACUGAUGCGUGGGGAAAGGAGUCCAUUUUCACAGGACUAUAUACAAAGGCACACUUUAGGACCAGCAGGCAAAUCGCAGGGAGCCCAGCUCUGUGAACUCUGCCCUUAACCCAUACAGAAUGAGUUACAGGAUUUUAACCAUGAUGUCUCCCCUUGUUAAUCCUAAAUUACAAGUCUGCCUUUAGAAGUUUCUGCAGUUGUCUGUGUGGACAAAGCCUUAACUCUUCUUUACCAAAUGACUUGCGCCUUCCUCAUGCUCUGUCUUAGCCAUUUGUCCUCACUGAGGCUUUAAAGCUCAUAGUUAAAUUGGCUGUGGCAAUAGGUUGUAUUGCCCAGUGCAACACAAUAGCCAGGCUCUGUCCCUCCUGCAGGUCUGGUGACAGACCACACAGACCCCUGUCUGGAGGCCCUCCUGUCUUGCUCAACAGACAUACCAUCUUCUUGAAGUCACAGUGCUUAAUUGAGUCUGAUGGUUUAUCUAAAAACUUUGAAAUGCCAAAGAAAGGCUUACAAUUACUUUACAUGAGAGCGGAGGGGGUUGCUGUUUUAAAUAGCUUCCAUUCAAUUCAUGAUCUCCCUCUUGGAUUUAUCAGUAGGCAGUCUUGCUUGGAAAAGGCAAAGUUCAUUCUGGUACUUAAAGUAUUAUUUGCAUGUACUUUUCUUCUGUAGGUCACACAGGGAGUUGUAAAAAUGAGAAGAAAAGCCUUGUUUUCUUGGGCGGGGACCUCUUAUCUCAUUUCCUCUUUUAUUUAUCAUUGUUGCUAUUAAUUAAAAUACUUCUGGUGUUUUGGUCCGAGUUGGAGGCACUUGAGGCAGAUAUCUCCCUGUCUAGUUUCUUCUUCUGGUCUUGGAGGCCUGGCCAUUCAGAUGCCUGUGAUGCAAGAGUGACUUCGCAGAUGACAGAGAACACCUAUGUGACUCUAAGCCACCCUAACGCCACACUGUACAUGUCCCAACAUAGAGUCCCACAUAAGAGUUCAGAUUGGCAACAAAUCUAAAUUUAGCUUUCUAAUAAUUUCUGUGUGGUAGAAUAGGCUAAAUACCACUUGAGCAACCAAACACUUCAUUCUACACUUGCUUGCCCUGGGCUCUUCAGUGUGUGGCAUUUUCACAUUGUAGUUGCCCAGUACAUGCAUAAAUAAAUAUGCAUGGCAGCAUCUACAUUAUUUGGGGGGAAGUCUACUCUACUCCGGGAAAUGUUCCAGGAUCUAAUGAUGAUGCUGAAUGAUAAAGAUCUUUGCUCAGUCAGUAGAAAACUAUUGAGCCAGGGUAUAUGAUGUUCUCAGUUUUGUGGGUUCAUUUCUUCAUACACUCACCUGCCUCCUGUUUCUUUCAUAUUCUACCCAUUUAUCAAUUACUUCCUGUCUAGAUAUAGGUGUCAAAUUGGCAAAUACACAUUAACAGCAACUGGGAAGCACACUCUUGUGCUUGAUUGUACAGUUCAUACAUUAAUAGACACAAUUAUAAUGUCAUUUAUCUCAUCCUUAUAACAGAACUAGAGUUGUUGCCAAUAAUUUUCUUUUAUUUGCUGUGUUUGGUGAAUUGAUUUGUCUGUAAGGAGAAGACUAUUGGAUAUUUGGUCACUAGCAGAAAAAUGAAACUGAAUGUUCUAGAAAAAGGAUUUAAAAACAACCUCAGUAUUCACAGUCGUACCUUGGCGAGCAGUGUCAUCUUCCAAAUACAUAAACAUAUAUGGUCUUACAGGUAAUAGAGAUUAUCACACCAGUGUUGAGCACAAGAAAACUAAAGGCUAUUGCAUUAAAUAAAUCUUAAAAGGUUGCACAUUUCCUUUAAGGAAAAUGUAAAGAUUAAACUCAGAUUUCAUGGAUGGGUUACAUCUGAUAUUUUUCAGUAUUCUUGUCUCUCCAACUGUUUCCUCCACAAAUUAAAAUUAAUUCUCAAUGUUGAGCUGGGGGCAGAAUCAAAGGUUCUGAACAUGAGUGGUGUUUUCCUAGACACUUGGGAGAAUCUAUUGUUGAUAAGCAGCCUUUUGUGGGGAUCAGGAUAAUUUAUCUUAUAUGUGUGUAAACGUCUAUGGGAAGUUGUUAUUCUAAGAGAACUGUUCUCUAUUACCCUUCCCGUUCCAGUAAUUCUUUUAAACUUCACAAAUAUGUCAGAUAAAAAAUAAUUCAUUGCUAGUUUUACUUUUUUUGAGCAAAUUACUUAGACACAGUGCUUCAAGCGAGGGUUAUUUUGAUAUGGAUACCCAAAUAAAGAUAUUGUUUUAAGCUAUUAACUACACAUUUUUUCUUAGAAAAGUUACAGUGUAGUGACAGAUUUUUUUAAUUUAAGCACAAAAUAGGAGUAUAAUAUGGUCAAUAGACUAAUUUACAAUUUUAAUUAGUAAUUUUGCAAUAUUAAUGAAAUAGUAUCCUGCUUAAAGUAUUUUGGGGGCAACUAUUUAUUACCUUUAUUCUUUAAGAGCUGUUUUAUUUUUAAUUGUUUGCAUCUGUCUGAGGAAUUACACACGUGUCAGCAAACAUGUCUGCAAAAUCUUGAGGAGGGCUUUUGAUUCCCUGGAGCUGGAGAGACAAAUGAUUAUGAAUUAAAUCAGGUAGGUUCUGAGAAAGGAACUCUGAUCUGCUGUAAGUGUGGUGCCAGCUCCUAGCCACUAGGACAUCUCUUUAACCACCCCCACCUUUUACCUUUAAAUUAUUUUCACUUUGUAUGUGCUCAGAAUGUUUAUGCUUUUGCAUAUAUAAGUCUAACUUUUGCUCUCAAUUUUGAACUCAAAAGAAAGACCAUUGGCAGGCUGGAAGUGAAACUUCUCAUGUCUCUUACUAACAGAGACGACUUAUGGAUUUAGGAGACCUUGAUUCAAAUAAAUGAUUAGAGCUGACAGUAACUACAAGGAGAAAGCCCACAUUCAGUCUCCAAGAAGGAAAGCCCGUAGCUGAGAGCUGACCAUACGGACAGCAAAAGGGUCCACUUGAGAAUUUUUAUUUCAUCAUCAUUGUGUUUCAUAUAUGACACAUGCUUGUAUAUUUUGAGCUCACAAGUCAAACUUGGACAAGUUGUAGGACAAAGGUCACUAUGUAAAUGAGUUAUUUUGAACAUUAAUUCUCUUUAAUAGUUUCAUAUUUUGUAAUGAAUCCCAUUUUAUCUAAUUUUGAAAACCAUACGAAAAAGAUCUCACAACUUAAAAUACUCAAAUAAACUCUAAAAGUCUAUCUAAAGGUUCUUAUGUCUCAAAUGAUUAACAAAACACCCUCUCCUGUUACAUACAAAGUAUCUGUCCCCUGUGAGAAAUGAAGCAAGUGUAUGUUCAGGAUGUCUCAGACUUUGGACAUUUGAGAGUCAAUAGCAAGAAGGUGACCUUCUGCCAAGGAUAUCUACAGUCACAUUUGUCUCUCAUGUAAUGGUCUUGUGGGUAGAUAUAGUUUAAAAGUUAUAUAAAAUUUUUACUACUUGAAACCCACAAUUUUCUUUCAUAUUUAAGUAUCCUAAUAAGAAAAUUUUAUUUCUUUUAAAGUCUGUGAAGUAUAAAGACAGAAAGUAAAGUGUGUGGGAGACAGAAUUAGAUGAUCAGUAUGGUGAAUAUUUUUCAAAGCUCCUUUGACUGGUACCUCCAUAUUUGUGUGCCUCCCUCACCUGAAAUGAGGCUGAGUCACAAAAUCCUCUCAGUUUCAUCCUGAUCAUCAUAAAAUUCAUCCUGAGGACACUAAAACACUAAGCUAGAACUCUACCAUCUGUCCGUCAAGAGGCCGUAAUGUUGUAAAGAGGUGAAGGGAUAGAAUUAAACUUAACUGUAGGUGAUUGAUGCACAGGCUCCCUUUUGUCAUCCUUCUAGAGCCUCCCAAGGAGUCAAGUCUGUACCCACUGAGUUACUUCUAGCUUCAGCGUUAAAGUCUGCACAUUGUAGAAUGGGAAGAACCCAUCCUCAAAGUAGUGUGUGUGAAACUGACUCACACAGUGAGUGAGAUCCUUCUGAGUAUUAGGAAGUGUUACAUGUCAUUCAAUUAUGGAGAACAUGUAUUGGUUCUAUAGCAGUUAAGAUUUACUUAGAGUCACAUAGAGUUUACCAAGGUGCUUGUCAUGUUGCUAGCUAUUAAACAACAGUGAACUGGACAUUAACUCUGUCUGCUGGCCACUCACAUUCCAAGGUUUAGACAUAUUUUAAGUGAUGGCCCUUAGAGCCUUGUGCUAUCCUUACAACUUAAACUUUCAUAUAAGCUAUAUUUUGAUAAAUAUAAAAAUUGAAGACAAUCUGUUUUAAUAUAUGUUUUAAUUGUAUAAGUAAAAUUAUUGAAAAUAAGGAUGUUUUAAUCUUCAGAAGAGUAUUUUUGAAAAUCCCCAAACUAUCAAACUUUAAAUACACCAGAGUUCCAGAACAGGACUGUACUGAACAUAUGUAGGCUCUGAAAUUCUUCACAUUUAUAUUAUUUACAGCUUUUCUGAUAUGUUAAAAAUAAAAAUCUCAGUGAAAUUUAACAUUUGAGAGUAUAGGCAUGAAGGUGUUUUAUAACUCUAUACUAUUUAACCUGUUGUGUUUGUACUAUAAGUCUAAAUCCAGAUGUUUCUGAAAGUUGUUACAGACCAUGGCUGACUGGUGGUCCCCCUGUACACCCAGUGCAAAAUUAGUUAGAGGCAUCUGUUCAAUUCCCAGUGGUUUGGAAUUUCUGCAGUAAAAUUUAUACCAGAUUCUUCCCUCCUCAGCUGAUGAACCUGGGAUCUGGACUCAAAUGAAACAGGGUCCUGGUCUCUCCUCCUCAGAAGAUGCACUUGGUAUCUGUAUACAUGGAUGUACACGCGCACACACACACACACACACACACACACACACACACAAUUGGCAGCAUAGGGAAAAUGAACUGUCUGCCCUGCAGUCCUUUGAAAUCAAGCUGCCUUACUGAUGAUAAGUGAGACCAUGUCCUCCUGCCUUUCUGUACUCCAAAGAAGAAAAGAAAACAGAAAAGACAGGAAGGGUGAGAAAGAAUAGCAUCAAUGAAGUUCUUCAUUCAAAAUUAGUCUUCAACUUCAGGAACAAUGUUACAAAAAAUUAUUUUCAACAAGAAAAAUAUAGUCCUUGUUACAAAGAAUGUUGAGAAAUCAAGUUAUCUACAAUAUAUAUUGAACUAUUCAUUUUAAGAAGUCCUCCAGGUAUUACUAUCUACUUAUUUAUAUUUGGAACUUAUGAGUCUUGUCAUUCAGGUAACUCUCACACAAGGGCCCAGAGUUUGAGCAUUCAAACAAGUCAUAAUUCAGUAAGAUUGUUCCUCUGUCUGAGAGCCUGAUGAGAAAAUAAAAACCUAGACUUAAUGACUUUCAGAAUUUUUGUAAACUUCAAAACCUUUUUUGAAACCUUAUGUAGACAUUUGUAAAACAUGUCAAUAUUGAUGUUUGUGUGUGUGUGUGUGCGUGCGUGUGUGUGUGUGUGUGUAUGUAUAUAAAACUCCAUUGUACCCUGAUUGCAGACUCCUUCCAAAGAGUCCCCUGAAGAAUCUGUUAAAGAGUAUUGUUUGAAAGUCUCUGAUCCUGUGACAAUCUGAAUUUUCUUCAACAUCAUAUUUUUCGUGAUUAUACAUCUGGCUGUAUAUGCAUAUUUCCCUGAACUUUUGAUUAAGAUGGAUGUGUCAUGAUUUCUAACUCAUAAAUAUUUCACUGUUCAGUUCCUAGUAAUAAAGCCAUUUAAAAACACGGUUGAAUUUUUAUUUCCAGUCAGGAGAUUUAAAGCUGUUGUAGUAUCAUGGCCCAGUGAGAGCCCUACUCAAAGUUCAUAAAUGAUGCAGUCAUGUUCUUCAACACGAUUUUCCUGCUCCAGCAUCACUCCAAGAUUACACACUUCAUCUUAUCACCAGGUUUUAGCAGUCUCUGAUCUAGCAUAUUCUUGGCCUUUGCUGUGUGUACUUUUUUUGUAAAGUCAUUUGAAGCAUUUACAGUGACAUUAGAUUUUGAGUUAGUUUUCUUACUAAACUGAGCCAGGCUAUAAAAUUAUUUUUUAAAUAGGGAAAACAUUAAAAUGAUAUUCACUCUUCCAUAGGCUUCAUAACUGGUGCCAGAAUAUGUUGAUGAUGAUGAUAUGAAAAGGUUCAUGGCAUUAGCUUCAAUACGCUGGGUAAGGUGGUAUUCAUCAGGUUCCUUGUUGAAAAGUGGAUAUUUUGCUUUGUUUAUAACACAGGAACAAGUCACUCAGAUAGUUACAAAACAUGAGAUCCUGAUUGAAUUGUAUUGGGUGACAAGGGUGUGGCCAUGUCAAGGACCAAUGACUCAGCCCAGUAAGAGGAGGAAACAUUUCCUCGGGCAAAGUUAAGAAGGAUGGAAGGAAGUCUUCCUCUUGUCUGAAGGCAAAUAUUGACAAUGUGCACAGUUAAUGUCCAUCAAAGUAUUUCCUGCAAGUUAUUUAGGGCCUAAGACUGCUUCCCAUUCAGAGACCUGCUCCUACUAAUGUUAGCUAAACCUACCUCCAUGUUCAAUAAAUAAUUCUGCCUUCCUCUUCAACUGCAUGUAAUCACUGCACCUCCCUGUUACACUGUUUAUAAUAAACAUGCUGAGCUUGUAUGGUGCUGGGGCUUCUCCAUGGGUCCCAGCUUUUCUGUGUGUCUGCACACUUGUCCUUUCUUCAUUGCCUCCAAUUCCCACAUAGGUCAAUCCUUAGAACCAUGUGGGGUAUGUCACAACUAAAGAACUAGAAGGAGGAGUAUAUAUGCACAUGGGCCAGCCUUAUAGAGAGGCUCUAAUGCAAGAGCAAUUUGUUCUAAUUUCAUAAGAUAUUUACCCAAGCUUAAAUUAAGAAUAGAAGUAAUGUGAACUUGCUUACCUGUUUAAAAUACUGGAAACUCACAUGGAAAAAAAGGCAUGAAAUCAUGAAUACAGUCUAUAAAUGAACACUAUAGUAAGCACAAUAGCACAGUUUCUAUGAAUUGAGUGGGAGAGUAAUUGAAAGCAUUCAGGGGAUAUUAUAACUUCAAUUUCAAAAGUUUGUCUGGUUUUCCUGCAGGAAUAUUCUGUCUGGCAUGUGCAAGAAGACCAAAUAGGAUAUAAUUACAGUAUGCAGUGAAGUAUAGUAAUGGGUCUGAUGAUUAAGAUAGUUACAAUAGAAGUGUCAUGUUUUGACCAUGCUCUGUAGAUAUAAUUAGUGGGAUUUUCUUAGAAGUUGCCUACUAGAAAUGGAGAGAAAAGGGAUUCCAAUCUUAGAAAUUAAACAAGAAAGAGUGACUGUAAUCAGAAAUGGAAGACACUAUAUAUUAAGCAUGAUUUUUCAUUUCAUUUAUUUCAUUAGCACAUGCAAAUUAUCACAGCAAGGAGCUUCACUGUGAGUUUUCCAUAGUUACAUAUAAUAUAUAGUGAUCAUAAAUAUUCCUUUUAUUAUUCUUUCUUUAAAAUGAAAGAAAUUUUAGUAUGUCUACUACAUAUGUAAAUAAAUAAACAAACAAAAAAAAAUGCCUAACCCCUGCCAAACAUCCUUGGCCACCUACCUGUAGUGGUGGCCUCAGGCCCUAGCUCUCCCAUAGACCUCACAUAAUUACUGUGUUUUUCUUCCUCCAAAGCAUGGCACAAAAGCUCUCCUUUGCAUCUGCCAUUUUUUCCUGGGACCCAAAGUACCACCUGUGUGAUUGGCCCCUGGCCUUCUUUACUGAAAAAUCAAGAAUCAAUUGGGGAAUAGAAAUUAUCAACAGAACCUCCCCUUAGAAAAAAGAAUGAGCAUAUCGGAGUAGAAGGUUGGGAGUUGGGUUGCUGUUGUCCUCAGUUAUAAUUGCCUGUGGAUUCCACUUGAAUGGAAAGGCCCAACAUGGUAUUGACAUGUCUGGAAUUUAAGAGAGAGAUCUGGGCAGAAGAGCUAACUCUGGAAGCCUUAUGAAUAUAGUUGCUAUUUGGAGAGUAAGACUUAAGCUCAGUGGUAGUUGUUAGCCAGGAAGCACAAGGCCCAAGUUUGGUGCCUAGUACAAACAGGAAAGGAAAAAAAAGAAUGUAGACGAUGUUUAAAUUUAUCUCCUAUGCUUUUGUAAUAAUCACAUAACUGCUCUAUUUGGCUGUACAUUUCUAUUUUCUCAACCCAUCUUUAAUCUUGACAACUUUUAACUUUUGUAAAGCAAAACAUUCAUCUUUCUAUUGUCUUUAAAGCUUAGACAUAGCUUAAAAGACACAUCCAAAUUUAAUACAGAAAUUCACAACCAGGCCAAAAUCUAUUCUUGUUUUACUAAUAAAAUCUUUAAAUGCCAAACUCAAAGGUCAGCUCUUCUGCUCAGUGUCCAUGAGGGUCCUGAGGGAAAUCUGUUUCCUCUUCCGUGACUCCUCAGAACUUCUGGUUAUGUUUUUCUGUGCUGCCCAGCAUGGAAGCCAUCAGCUGCAUUUUGGGUAUCUUGGGUAUCAUGUAGUUGAAGUGUGGUAAGUCCAAAUGUAAAUGUACUGCAAUUGUCAAAUUCUUAUUGUCCAAAGGCUCCAUAGAAAAUACACAGAAUAACACAAACACAUAUCUACUUGUAAAAUAGAAUGUAAAGAAAAUAUAAUAUUAGUUCCAUUGAUGUAUUUUUUUUUAAACAAUAAGCUUUUCAGUGGUAUAUAUAGCUUUUAAUCCAUGCCUUGGAAUUUAUUUCUAUAGAAUAGUGUUGGUUUAGAGCUGCCACUUGCAAUUAAAUUAUGUUACUCUUAUCUCAUCAGUUGGUCAGUAGAUUAUAAGUUUCUAAAAUGGAAAUUUGAUUUGAGUCCUAUUUCUAGAGUGUAGAAAAUGACUAGAUGGUCAUUAACAAGUAACUUAAAAUUUGUUUACUCUCUUUGAUGCUUACCCUAAUACAUUAAAGAAUCAACAAAUCACCUAUAAUAUAUAUAUACAGAGGCAGAAUUUGAAAAAGAAUUAACUAUAGAUUUAUGACAUGCAAUUCAGAAACCAUGGGACUUUUCUAAAAACUCCCAUAAUUUGGGCUGACCAUAUAUAAUUUUUGAACUACAAGUUGUAAUUUUUGAAGGAAAUCCAGGGAAUCUGCAAAGCUUUCAAGGGAUGAAAAUAAGGACGAAGCUAUUAUUUUAUCCUCUACAUUCUUUCACAUCUGAUGCCCUCUACAAAGUUAGAAAUACAUUUAAAAUAUUCACUGAGCAAUGAGAUAAGGCCAGUGUCCAUCAAAACAAGGAAUCCAGUGCAUCACAAGCUAAUGGAUAGCCUUGCAAAGUGGUCCCAGAGUCUCUGCCUCUGAGAAACAACAUGCUGAUAGGGUAGUGUUGUAAUUCACCACAAGGAGCGUGUAUAGAGAGCCACCCCAGAAGAAAGGCAAUAGAGUGUGCAACAUUAGCGUGUACUGUCAACCCUCGUCAACCAAGUACACUGGUCUAGUGACCAGAUUGUGUGUCUAGACAGAAAUCCCCCUGCAGGGAAGAAGAAUAAUACCCCAAGAUAUGUUAAUGUGAUGUAAAUCUCCUCCUGACUUGCAGAAUCCUGCCUUCAUGGUUCUCUCAACAGGGUUUUGCCUUGUUAUUUGAUCUCUUGAGUGUUCUGCCCCUCACAUAAAAAGAACAAUGGUACAACUUCUCUCCCAUGCUAAAUGCACGGCCACCAUCUUACAUACAAACCAUUGUUUUGUGUGAAUAAUAAUGCUAAAUAUCUUUUAUUCUCAUAUAUUAAAGUAUUAAAACUCAUGCUUGAAGAUGAGACUAAAGAAAAUCAAUACAAAUCAAUAAUUAGAGCAUUCUACACUAGUAUAACCCCCUGGUUUGUAUGUCUUUUAUAUUCCAUAUCAGCUUUAAUUAACUAAUUUUGAAGAUAAUUUAGGAUAUUGCUAAUGACAUCCUCAAAAAAAACUUAACUCUCUAUUCAAAGAUAUAUAUAUAUAUAUAUAUAUAUAUAUAUUCACAGAGUAUUUCAUCUCAAUGAGACCAAACAUUGAACCUCACGAACAAAUAGUAUUGAAUCCAUUCAUGUACUUGACCAUAUUAUUUAAAACCCACUUUCACUAGCUAGCACAAACAGGAGGACAGGGGGAUAAGGUUGCCCUAUUACCUUGACAUAUAAACAUGUGCUUGAAAAUGAAACGCUUUGUGUUUUCCUCAUUAAAUGCAUCUGGCUUCAGUAGGAAGAAUAAUGAUAUUCAAAGUUCAAUCUAGUCGGAGAAACCUGUCCUUUCCCCUAGGUAACUGAGCCAAAAUGAAAUGUUCUUUCAGAACUUCCGGUGUUGCUAAAUAGCUUGCUCAACAGUUAAUAGCUUGGGGUUUAAGAGUUUUGUUUGGUAUUAGGCACUGGUGCCAAUGAUUCAGACAUAGAACAUCCACAUAUAACCCGUAGAUAUUUGAGCCAGAUUCUUCCCGCACAUAAGAUAUUCUGAGAGCAAUUUAGACCAUUUUGAAAGGACACUGAAACUUCUUGGGCACUCUUCAUAUCACUACUAUCAAGCUUAGUAAAAUAUAACUAAGUGAUCUGACUCCGAACUUAAAAUCUGAGGAUUAGAUUUUAACUAGAACUUAUUGUAUGUUCGUCUGCACCCUAAGUUGAGGUUCAAUAACAUUAAUGGCCCAGACUCAUUUAUUCUUUCAACUAGAACAGUAUAUAUCUAAAAGUCUUUUAUUGUUUCCAUUACAUUAUUGUGUAUGUUGUGAAUGCCUAAGUAGGAUCCAAAAACUGCUAAAGGUGACAUAACACCAUCUAUUUACUUAGAUGUCCCCAGAAGUUAAUUAACUUUCCCAAAUGCGUUGCUUAAUAACAAGGCUGGAAUCAAAUUGAAAACUAAGGUUUCUAAAUUCCAGUCAAGAUCUUUCCACUGCAUAAUUAAAUCAGAAAUUUUAUGUAUCUGUUGAACUAAGUGCCUUUAGGAAAAUUAAGAGAUUUUCUUUAUCCUCAGAAAAUCUAUGUGAAGAGUACAGGCCUCUAAGAAGGCAGAGACCUUAAAAUAUAGAUUGUCUUAAAGAAGUGGAUUAGAUAUAGGGGUGGGGUUAUAGUUUGGUGGUAGUGUAUUACCCCAUUAUAUGUAAGACCCAAGGUUUACAUACCAAAAUUGCAAGAAAAAAAGGAACACAUUGAAUAUUAAAUGAGAAGACACACACAAAAAAUGCAAGAAACACUUAUAGAAAAUUAGAGCACACAGUAAAAAAUGAAUCUUAUGACUUUUAAAGAAAGACAGCUGAGUAUGGUAUAUUAGAUGAAACACAUUUAAAUCUGAUCUCCAAUUGGAAGAAAUUGUGCAGCAUGUUAACACAAGUGUGAAAACAGCUGGAAGAAGGGCUUCUAUUUGCCCUAUGCAGAUGGAGCCAUGGCAUCUUUUAGCCUGACACAUUACUAAGACUUAGUGGGGCACAGUGAUGUGUUAAGAGGAAUUGGCAGGACUUUGUACUACAGUACUUUGGCUGUGUCUGCUUUUUAGAUGCAAAUGUGAUAGGAUGAAGCUACUGUAUUUGGGAGAUAAAGAAUUAGUAAACAGCCCAGCAGUGGUGGUGUACACCUUUAAUCCCAGCACUUGGGAGGCAGAGGCAGGUGGAUUUCUGAGUUCUAGGCCAGCCUGGUGUACAGAAUGAGUUCCAGGACAGCCAAGGCUAUACAGAGAAACCCUGUCUCAGAAAAAAAAAAUAGAAUUAGUAAACAGAGGAAAGAGGCUUAUCACAUGACAAAUUUUAAGUUAACCCAAAAGUUUCCAUUGUUUAACAGACCUUUGGACAGUGUUUCUAAGGGUUUAGCUUAUUUCUAGCUUAAUUUUUUUCUGUCAUUUAUUUUGAAUUUAAUCUCUAUCUCUCCAUCUCUCUAUCUCUCCGUCUCUCUAUCUCUCUCUGUUUUUGUCUUUCUUUGUGUCUCUGUGCCUGUCUCUGUCUAUCUCCUUCUCUCUCCCAUGUGGUGUGGGUGGGGCGAUGCUCACCCACAUGUAAGAAUUAACAUUGGCUGUACUUGUCUCUCAUGUUUCAUCUUAUUUUUUUGAGAUAUUGUCUCUCACUGGACCUGAUGCUGAAGCUUACAUAAUCAUCUAGCUAGCCCCUGGGAUCCCUGGUCUCUAUCCCCCAGUGUGCUUAUAAAUGCACACUGUCACACCUGCCUUUAGAAUGUACUGGAGAUAUGAACUCAGGUCCUCAUGUUUAUACAGAAAAUACUUCAACCACUGAGUUAAUAAAGGAUCGGUAGAUCCUUUAUUUCUAUUGUUGAUUUUUAAAUAAACUUGAUAUCUAAUAAUUACACACAAUGGUAUAUAUGCAUUUGUAAAGCUUUUACAACACAAAUUGACCAGGAUACAAAGUGAAAUCUAUUUUGAAACCAGGCUAGAUAAUAACAUAGCAAAACAAGAGCACAACCUGACCUGUACACAAUGGUAUUUAUUGACCUAAACUAACUUUGCCAAAAUGUAUUAUUUUAUUUUUGAGUUCCCUUGCAUUUAUAUUACUAGAUGUUCAAAGGAAAUACAUUUGGGGAAGUGCUUCUCAUGACCUUUUUACUGAGAGGGGCUGUGUGAGCUCAUGUAAAACAUUAAAAUAUUUUCAAUAAACUUUCAGUUUUCCUUGGUUUCCAGCUGGUACACAGAAUCUGGAUCUAAGAGGUGGUGGAACAUUUUUUCUUAUCUAUGAAGAUCUGACUUCUACUGGGGGUGGGGUUUGGAUGAGAGCUGGGCCAGGAGCUAGAUUAUGCAUGAUCUCAUUGAGUACACACACACACACACACACACACACACACACACACACACACUCAUACCACUGAUGUUAUUGUUCUUAUUUCCAACUUGACAGAUAAGAAAACCAAGGCCCAGGGAGGUUAAACAAAUUGUGAGAUCUAACCAGACUGUUAAUGGCAAAGCAGAGAUUCAAAUAAAGAUUGUCCAACUCCUGGGCCGAGUCUCUCUCCAAUUCCAUAAUACAUUAACAAGAAUCCCAGGAGUAAGGAGAAAACUCUAUGUAAAGAACUCAGGACAGUUCACAGCAGAAAUACCCAAGGAACAGGGAAACUCAGAGGGAGCCUGGUUGCUUCUUCAAACACUGAAAAGUUUAUUUAGGCCCUAAGGAGCUGUCACGUUUGCUCUUUAUGGUCCUAAGGUGUAGAGAAGAAAGCAGUGCCUGAAAACCUUUCAGAGGAAUGCUUUUAUAUGCAAGAGCUUUCCAAAAGAAAGAAUUCAGGAUAGACAUAGUGUACUUGAAAGGCAAUCAGGCUUCUGUCAUUGGCCUUCGUCAGUUUUAGGCUGCGUAAUCAUUUGAUAGUCUAUAACUAGAGAAUAAUCACUUGGAAAAUGCACAAAUUAAUGCAUUUUCCCUUUCUUUAUUCUGACAACUGUUAGACAGAUAAUGUGCAAUUAGACUAAAUACGAGAGGAGUGAUUGAUUGUCUAAAUUAGAACUGAAAGCUAGCGACAUAUACUCCUGCCAUGGGCUUCUGCUGCAUUCAUUUCUUUUACAUUACUUUUGUCUAAGUGUAUAAAAGGUGACUUGAAAUGUAUGUUUUAUUCUGCUUUAUGCAUUCAACUUAAGCAUUUGGGAUCAACUUUAAGAAAGCACAAAUCUCAUGUCUUCAAGUUAUGUUUUACAAAGGAAUCCUAUAUGACCCAGAAAGUAUUCCCACAUUCUCCAACUGCAUUAGCUACUGCUGUUGUCACCAUGACAGAACAUGUGGCAAAGCAACUUAAUGAAGAGAGGUUUAUUUUGAAUCAAAGUUCUUAGGGAACUGGUUAUCAUGAGGUGUUGCGAGCCGUCCAGCGGGUACACCUGAAUGGCAGGCCAGCACUGAAAGAAAGGGAAACUAGGCGACGAGAGAAAGAUGGAACCAAGGGAGGCAGGCUACACCCUAAGUAAGCUCCUUAGUGGCAAGCAAGGUCAAGGUCUGGUUCAGCCUGCUUCAGGCUUGUGGGAGGCUAUAAUGAGGGGAAGACAUGGUUGCUAUAGUGGCUCAGUCCUCAGUGGAGACAGAUACAGUCACCAAUCACAUACCAGCAACCCAACACCAACAAGGGAGUUUUGGCAAACGUAGGUCCAGGACAUUCUUUGAAACCAGCCCCUACCAUACUAAACCCGCAUGUAGAUCCCAACUCCUAAAGGUAUCACGGCCUUUCCAAAGAGCACCACCAACUGGGAACCAGGGGUUAGAAAGCAUGAGCCUAUAAGAGAUAUUUCACUUUUAAACCUUAACAAUCACUAACAUAAGGAAGUGUUUCUUUUCUUUUCUCUUCUUUUCUUUUUUUUUUUUGUCUUUUUGUUUUUGUUUGUUUUUUUGAGACAGUUUCUUUGUGUAGUCCUGGCUAUCCUGAAACUCACUCUGUAGGCCAGGAAGUGUUUCUUAAUAUGAACACAUUUACACACCAUCAGUCUGGUAUUUUAAAAAGACAAUUUGUUUGAUGGAAAAGUCUAGUUUUCAAGUUAUGUUAUUAUUUAUGGCUUUGGAUCAGAUCAGUUAUUUAGAACAUAAAUCGUUUAAGUUAACACAAAACUAAUUUUCAAAGUAACAGAUGCAAAAGAAUUGAUGAAUUCUAAACACCAAUUUACGUCUUUGUGGAUUUUUAUAUCAUCAGAUAUUUGCAUUUAUUUCCAUCUAACCAGUUGUAUUUAUUGGAUACAUAAAUAAGGAAAUUUAUUUGUUCAACUCAGUUAACCCCUUUGGUUUCUGUCUGUCUAUAAACUGAAGUAAUUAGCCAGAAAUCUGAAGUUUCUUUUAGUUCUAGAGAGGUAAAUAAAACAUGUUGCUCUAUUAACCCACAGAGAGAAUUUUAAAAUACAUCUUUUAAAUCAAUGUAUCUAAAGUAGAGUUUUAAAAAUGAUCUUCUGUAGUUUGUAGGUCACAGCCCAUAAGCAAGUCUAAUGCUUGAGCCCUGGGUUCUGUUUACCACUCGGCACUGUGCAGAGAGUUUCCAGAUCUUUCUCUCUUGCCCUGACCUUUCAGACUCUCUUGUUACAGAUUUCUUUCUGUUUAUGGAACAUCUUUACUUAGAUGUUCUUCCAUCGCCUAAAUCUAAACACGGUAGGGAAAGGAAUUCAUUAUCUCCUCUUAGCCCAAGUAUUCUGCCACACUUGCUUCUCCUGCGUUUCCUAGGUAGGGAACCUGGCUUCAGCUCCUCUUUCCAGUCACCUCCUUCUCUGGGCUGCUACUGCUACUGCUACUGCAGACUCAUAUUCAGAGAUUUGUUCUUCUGUGUCUAAAUUCCUGCAUUCUCGCCCUGGUCUCAGCAAUACUUUGCCUCUCUCUUCAGGUCCCCCUGCUGACCCCGCCUGUGUCUGUAUAAGUUCAUGGACAUUAUAAAGACUUGUAGAAUAUUUUUAUUUAAAUGUCAUUUGAGAAGCAAGACCAAUUCACUUAAGCCUUCUUUAAUGUUUUUUUAUGUGCCAUCAGGAUGUGAGUUUAUUCUUACACUCAAUAUUUAAGUAUAAAUAUUUACUUACACAUUUUGUUUCUCAAAUUAGAUUAGGAGUUAUUUUAGCAUUGGAAGUAUGCCCUUUAUUUUUAAUGGGCUGUAGCUACUUGGAUGCAAUACUCUUCCAAGCUAUCUAAACUAUAAAUACAGGUUGACUAUGUCUCUGAUCCUUCAGAAAAUCAUUUCUACUUCUAAAAGUAGCGGAGCCAGUACAAGUUGAGUACAUUAAAGCACCAACCUUAGGGCGUGGCCUAGAUCACUUCAUCUAAACCUUCUUCAGUGCUGUAGAAUGAAACCAUUAUCCCCAUUAAAUUGAUGACAAUAAGGCUGGGAGAAAUGAAACCCCACACUGUUCGUUUUGACCCUGAAGCUUCAGGUCCACUUGUUUGUCUUGUGAUCUGUAUUAAUAAUUCCUGAAUUAAUGGCAUUUUCUAGAAUAGGGCAGUAGUAACAAGUAUGCUUAAAAAAAAAUGAAGUGAAAAGUAAAAACCCAAACUCAUUUGUUCCACAUAAAUAAUUGAUGCUGUGGUCACUGACAUUAACCGCUACAUAUUUACAUUGCAAACAUUACAAUGUGCCAUGUUCCAUGUCCCACAUUAGGGUCCAGAUGGAAGAACAAUGUUACAAAAUAAUGAUGUUGUGUUUGGAUCUCAUAGAACCUACUCCUUAGAAAUGUGCAUAUUUGUUUGUUAAUUAAUAUUAUGUGUUACUUUAAAGAGUAUGUGGCUUAAGCGUUCUCUCAUAUUAAUUAUUUUAUUUAUCAGACCUGUUCUGUAAAACUUCAUUUGAGGAUUUACUUUUUAACUAAAUAAAACUAAUAGUUUUUGCUAGAAGACCACACACACCAUAUAAAAUGUACUCAAGUCUGGGGUGUUUUUUGUCAACAGACUUCAAAAGAACAUAUCAUAUAAUUUGUAAUACCACAGACUAAAAUCUCUUUUGGGCUUAGAUUUAUGUAAAUGGCAAAGGAAAACAUAUGUGUUAAUUUUUAGUUGUUUCUGUUUGCCAAUUAUCUGUCUUCUAGGAUGGCUUUAAUAAAUAAUAACAGUGCAUGGAAAAUAUCUUCCACUGCUUACUUUAGAACAAAAUGACUGCUUUGUUUUUAUGAACUUAUUCUGUUGGAGCUGACAUUUUUGUAUUUCAAAAUUCAAAAUGCAAUUGUUCAAUAUAUUUUCAUUUUAACUUUAUCAUACUUAUAUGUGGCUAUAUAUUUUUAUAAUCUUUUUUUCUGGUUAUACAAACAAAAUUACUUAAAGUAAGAGUCCUCAAGAUGAAUAUAGGUAUUAAAGGCAAAAUUGAUUAAGGAAGAAGAGUGGGAGUAAAGGAAAGAAGAACGUGGAAGAGACAGGAAAGAGGAGGAAAGGAAGAAAAGAGGAUAGGAAGGGAGGGAGAGAAAAAAAGGAAGAUGGGGCAAAGGAAGGGGAAGGAAGGAGAGGAGGAAGGAAAGAGAAGAAAAGAGGGAGGGAGGAAAGGAAGGAAAGGAGGGAGAGUGGGAGGAGGGAGGAGGAAGAGGGAGGAAAUAAUAAAAGAAGGGACACUGAGAGAUGAAAGGAUGAAAGAAAAUGAGACAGAGGAAAAGGAGUAACAAUGCCUAAAGUAACCUGCACCACAUAUGACAAUCCAUGAUUGUGUUUCUCAAACUUGCUAUCUUUGCAUCCUGAAAUGCUUCUAAGGACCUCCUUCCUUCCUGGGCUGAGACAGUAUUACCAAGCGUUAAGAUGCUGACCCCAUCAAGCUCUUGUAGUAAUUAAGCAGCCGUGGCCUGGCAGCUGCAUCUGAGUGACAGGUCUAGGGGUGGGGUAUUCCUGAAGCCAUGGUCUGUUAUCAUCUGGGUCCAGCGGGUCAGAGGUGGUAAAGAGCAUGGUCCACCAGCAGUUCCCUGCGCUGUGUCUGGUGGCUCUGUCAAUACACUCUUGUCUCCAAGGUUAUCAGGCUUUUGUUUUUCAGAGACAACUGAAAAAGAUAGCCACUGGGGUCUGUUCUAGCCCAUCUGCCAUCAUCUGUGAUUCCAAUGAUGCAUUCCUCCUUCAGCUUGUCAAUGAAGUGUGUUCACAGAGACCAAGUCCACACUAAUGUUUUUAGCAUGUUUAAUAGAGUUUUGUUAAGUAAACAUCCUCCACGAAACCAGCGCAAGAGUGGAAAAUAAACAGAGCUACUGUGCCAAGUUCAUAAUGACUUACACAUUUAGCACUUUGCCCCUCUUCUAAGCAAGGCCAUUAAAACCAGAUUUGUGUGUUUAGUGUAAUUUUUCUAAAGCCAUAGCUGUCCAGUUAUUAUAGGCCUUACACAUACUUGAGCAGCACCUUUUUCCUCCUCUCUUCUCCUCAGCUUCAUUAAAAAUGGAUUUUGUUUCCAAACAUUUAUGUCCAGGUGGCUUGUGAUAAUUCUGUGUCAACAACUUAGAUCUGUAGAUUUUCCUUCGACAUUACUGGUUCUUACAGAGUCAGCUGUUUACUAAGCCUAGCUAAAAUGUCUAAAUCAAGUUCUCUUUGGGAGAGUAUGAGGAUUUUCAUAUUCCAAACUAGAAGGGAAGCAUGGUUAAUUUUUUUCAAGUCCAGUACAAUGGCCAACAAAAUUAUAUUUUUUAUAAAAAAUAAUAGUAGAAAAUUAUAUGAGUUUCAGAGAAAGAUAACCCUAAAAAUCUUGCCUUCUCUUAUAAUCUCUCCUUUCCUUGUCAUCAGUGGCUGCGUAGUUAUGGUGAGAAAUGUAACUACUUUGACAGAUUGCUUUUAAAACUGGAGGCAUUGAUAAUACAAUUGACUGAUAGUUAUCUGUGCAGUAGUUUAUUCCUAUAUUGUUUAAAUCUGCCGCAUAUUUCCCUUUCUUUUUAGAUAUCAUUAUUCAUAUCCCUACAAAUGCCUUGUGGACUUGAAGUAUUUCUCCCACAUGUAUCUAGGAAUUUUUAUUCCUGAAUAAACCUUAACAGUCUGUUCUCAUCCCAGUAGACACAGAUUAAGCUUAGAGAUUCAUGGCUGAUUGACAUGGAGUUAGCACAAAGAUUGAGGGACUGUCCUCCUGGGUCAGUGUUGAAUUGUUUUGUUUAACAGCAUCAUUAGGGAACUGGAAAAAGGGAAGUAAGUAGCAUGGACAGCGUCUCCAGAUGAGAAAUGAAGAUGAACUUUACAUUUCUAGCAGUGGAGAGUAAAAAAAAAAAAAAAAAAAAAAAAGAUCCACAGAAGGCUGCUGAAACUGCUAGCAAAGAAGAGGAAGAAAUGCAGUCCUAAAUUACAACCUCACACACUAGCGUGAGAUGCGCCUUCACAGUGCAAGAGCCAGAAGGUGCACACUCAGCCAACAAAAACAGUGUACAGCUAUCCAAGUUCAUCACAGUCCCGAGGAACAUAGUACACUGUGAUAAGAAAUCCUAUAUAAAGUUCACAUUUCUUGCAUAUGACAAUGAUCUCGAAGACAAGGCAGUUGAUUUCUUCCCAAGUUCGAAACCCCACCCUGGAAUUGUAUGGUCUUGGAGAGAGUAUUUGUUAUUCUGGCUAUUUCAUUCUGCUGUGGAAAAGGGAGAGAAUUGUAUCUCACACUUCAUAGCAUUAUUGUGAACGUGAGUAAAAUUAAAUAAUAGACUUGGCAGGACUGGAAAUGGUGGCUUGCUAUUCAUUUUAUUUCUAGUACAUGUCAUGAUUCAAUGCACUCAGUAGAGAUUGAAUAAAGAUACUUUUAAACAUUAUUUGUUUGUUUUGUGUAUGUGUAUGCAUGCUCCUGUGGUCAUGCCUGUGUGUAGUUAGCCAUGCAAAUGGAUGCCAGUGGACAGUUUGAGGGAAUCCUCCAUGUGUGUCUGGGAAUCGAACUCAGGCCACAGCAGAUGUUAUUCUUACUGGUAAACACUUUACCUGCUGGCCUGCUUUACAUCCCAUUUAAAUGCUUCAAAGGAGAGUUGAAUCCUAAGGUUUCGAAGGUCAUUUGGUGUAUAUGAAAGUCUUUCAUUUCUAGGUUGAUCUAUAUAUGGGAGAAAGAAAAUAAUCUUGAUCUCUUGCAUUAAUGUAUCCCCCAGUGGCUUAGAACACGCCGACCUCUAGUAAUUUCUCUAUUAAAUAUUACUAGAUGAAUGACUCUUCACAACAUUUAGCAUAUUUAAAAUACCUAAUAGGUAUGCAUCAGUAAUUUCCUUAACAGUUUUAUUGGACUAUGAUUUACAAUGAUACAAUUUACCCAUUGUAGGGGCAGGAGGUAAAUGUGCUGCUGUAGUAUGUACAGUAAUCUAACUUUAGCAUAUUUUCUUUCUCUAGAAAGAUCCUUAUGAGGUCAUUUCUCACUCCCAGCUCUGACUUGGACCACUAUAAUAAUGUUAUUGAAACAGCCAUUGCUUCGAGUCCCCGUUCAUAAAUGACAAACAAACCUUCUUGUUUACAUGUCACUAAAUGAAAGUGAGAGCUAGAUGAAAUUCACUGUAUAUAACCAUUUCUAAACCAACUCUGUAAACAGAUGAACACUCAGAUAUGUUUAAGUGGAUGUCCACAACUUUCAGGAAAUACAAUCCUUCCAAAUAGUUUGGUUUUUAAACUCACUGGGCAAACAUUUACAAAUGAAAAUUACCAUUCUAACAGUAAAGGAAACACUAGUUGUUUAGGGAUGUUCCCCCUUUAAUCCAUUAAUCUCUGCUAUCUAAUUAGGCUCAUGUCUCAGCAAGCAUACAGCCUUUUUAAUUUGGUUAAUUACUACUUAAGCAUUUCUUUAAAUGUUUGGCUUAGCUGAGAUCAACUUUGUUAGCCCAGUCUUAUUUAAUAGUUAAUCUUCUCUAUGAUAUGUAGUUCCUGAAGCUAUUUCCCUUGGAUUUUCUGAGCAGGCCAAUAAAUAAUUUCACUUAUCUUGAGCACUGUAGCCCUAUACUGACACUCCCAGUUUGCAACCAUACAACUGUGAUGUUUACAAAGCUUCCCUGACUUUUAGUAGCUCUUGUAAUGGAGUCCAAAAUCCCUAGCAUAUAUUUAGCACAACUAUUUUUCUUGUCUCUUCCUGCCCAGACUGUUAGAUAUGCUAUACUUCUCCCCUGUCUCAAAAAUUGCCAAAUGUGUUGUGGAAUCCUUGUUCUACACCUUUGCCUAUGCUGUUCUUCAUGGUGGAGUGACAUCCCCUUUCCACACCUAUUUGGGUAUGAAGCUGAUAUAGCUCAAAUGCUUCUGUGGUCCUCUCUCCAUCACAAUUACCUCUUUUUCAAUUUGUACUGACUAAACUGAAAGAGUCCACAGGAGGAUGAGGACUAUUCUGCAGUUAAUUAUGUAUUUGUACGACCUGCCAUCUGGAGCAUCGUCGGAGACUAAUAAAGAAUAUAUAUAGAUUUGUGAAUGGUUGAAGGAAUAUAUGGAAUUCUGCUUUUGAAGAUCAAUGAACCUGAAAUGACUCAAACAUCUGGAUGAGACAUAGGAUUCCAUCCCUCCAGCAGAAGUCCGUUUAUCUUGUAUCUUUGGUCAUGCUCCAUCUUUUAUAAAAAGGAGGAGCAUAUUGACUAUAACAUUUAAACCUUUGAUUGUCCCUAAGAAUAAGAUUGAAUGGAGCAAGACAUUUGCAGACCUUGUUCUGGAAGUUUUAUUUCUGAUAGAUAUUAGCCAUCUUGUUCUACACUUUAUAGGCAUCUAUUCUACAAAGCUGCAAAGAAUUGAAAGAUAGUUUUCAAAUGAGGAAAAAUUUAGACCACAUCUUUAUUUGGAGAUUUUGUUUCCAUCUUGUGUGGUGAGGGGUUGGGGCGAUCUUACUCAAUACUCCUUUACUAACAUUUCAGUGAGAUGUGUUCUGGAAAUGUCCUUUCUCUGCAUAGAUUGGAGGAGGGGAGACACAGAAUGGUCCCAUAGACAGAAUGGUUUCCUCGGAAAGAACUGACCCUGAGACCCACUUGGAGUAGGGUCCUUGCCUUGCUCUAUUUUGCCACUUGGUGUCUAUGAGCUCUGUUUGUAAUGGAACAUGAGCAAAUCACUGAGCAAAAUGUCUGGAAUUCACAUCUGCUGAUGCUCCCCUCCCCAACACCAUCACCUUAUGCAUCAAUUCUGGAUAUAUAAAGGUAACACAUGGUAAGGGAAUGUGACAUAGAUUGACAGAAUAGAGCAGGAUUUAAGUCAGUCUGUGGAUGUCCCAAAAGGACCACAAAACAACUUACUCCCAAAUCAGUUUUCCAUUAGAAAAUAGUAAUCUUAACUUCAAUAUAAAAUCAUAUCCAUGGCUUCUUUGAAGUUCAUUACACAUCAAAUAUUACAUUAGAAAUCAAAAUGCUUUCAAGAUCUUUUCUGUACACUGAAAUUCAGAAUUUAAAGCAAAAAUCACAACAACUAAUACAAAAGAACUUGUCCACAAAUCCCUUCAGUGCAGUCCAGAGCCUUCCCAUUGUAUGAUCAUGCAUGCAGCACUGCCCACUUAGUGACUUUAAGUAAAAAGAACCAACAUGACAAAUGGACUUUGUCUCUCAGACAUGAAACAUGACCAGCUGUAAGUGUCUCACUGAACUUUUAUUGCUUUUACUUUUAUGUUAACCAUAACAAGUCACCAUGUUUUCAGGGUCCUAAAACAAAAGACUCAUGAAAGCCUCGCUUUUGAAAAGAAUAUUAGUCUAUGGGAAACCCCUUUACUUGUAUGAAGAGAAUGACAGUUCUUUGAUGGAUCUACAUAUUUCUUCUGCAAGACAAAAGCAAUCCAGAAAUCCACUCACUGAAGGAAUCCUGCAGAGUUGAGGGUUUUUUGCCCGCCUGGAAUUCAGCGGUUGGCUUUCAUACUUCAAGCUCGCAUUGGCUUUAAGGAAAAAUGCAAAUAAUUAACCCUGAAGUAAGAGGCAUUUCACCUCAGACUCUUCCUGCUGGGUUAACAAACAUCUCACAGAAAGGGAGCUCUCUCUGGGAGUGUCUCACUAGGUGUCAUUAUUGAUUAGUGACACCUAUUCUCUUAGGAAAGCCUUUGGAAAUGUAGAGCUUCAAGGGGGUUUGAUAAUUGGGGAUGAAGUUUUCAGUUGCUUUUUGUCCAAAUUUGUUAACUGAACUGUUAAGUGAUGAGAUGCCCAUUAGGAGACUUGCCUGGGAAGUCUGUGUUACCCUCAGUAGCCAGCCAUUCCUGCUCCCAGGACUCUCUAUGCUUCAUAUUCUAAAGGACCCUUUCUCAAUUCCCAUCAAAACACUGCCAGGGGGCUGAUAGGGCACAGUGUCAUCUCAUGACUUGACUUAUAACCAGAAUCAGCACCAGUUAAUUAGAAUGAUUGGUAGCUAGCUAUCCUUAAGUAACCUGAUUAUCCAAUUCUCUGAUGUUGAUUUUACCUGAUUUGAUUUUAAAUAUCUCAAUGAUUGUAUAGUGUAGCACAAAUGAUUUAAAAUAUCCCAAAAUAUCUUAGAUUUAAAAAUAAAAACCCAUGUAAUAUUUAUAAAUGAGGUAGUUAUAAAAAUUUGAUAAAAGGAAUGUGUAAUGGACAGAUUUCCCUUUACCGCAUCCUCUGAAGGCAUGGAAGUUGCUCUCUUAUGUAACAUAAAUGAGGUUGGAAGGUUGGAAAUAUUGUCAUUAUGGUUGAAGAAUACACCAACUACCAAAUAUUAUGACAAAAAAAAAUUCCUGGAAUAAUCUAAAAAGAACAUAACCAGAGAAAACCUUGUAGAUGCACAAUUUUUUUAAUUUAAAUCAUUUAAUAGAGUAGUUCAAAGUAAAUCAUCAUGAAAUGUAUUUGAUAAGAGAAACUAAUAAGAAUAGUAAAUAAAGGAUGCAUGCAUUUUUCUGGGCACAUAGUAACAGUGUGGAUCUGAGAAGUCAGAAGCUUUUCAUCCAAUCUUCAAGAUUUGCAGAGGUUCAUAUUUAGUCUUAAAAUAAGAUAUUACACUUAGCAAAGUCUGUUGUUAAUCCUGGAAUUCAAUUCUGUUUCUGCCAGGUUUCUGACCUUCAUCUUUGCAAUUGUUCAAGUAUGUAACAUAUGUUCAACACACACGAGAAAUUAUGCACACACCAAUGGAUUUUGUAUAUACUGAUGGAAAUCAGCUAGUAGAUGGCUAAAUCAUGGAUGUUAUAGAUGGGAAAGCAGAUAACAUGUUUUAUUGUUUGUAGCUUUAAAAAUUCCACUUUUUCCUUUAAACAUGAAGUCUUUCCUGUUGGUAAUAAAGCCACAGAAAAAGACAGAAAUAAAAAUGGUUUUUAGUCUCUGAAAAAUUUCCCACAGAAGAGGCUAGCUUUCAAAACAUGGCCUUCACCCAUUGAUAGCCUGCAGUGUGAGGAUCUAUUUGUCUUUCUCUACUCAUUCAGGAAAUAUAGCUUUCCCAACGUCUUCAAAAUCCUACUGAUUUAAUGACGUGCUCUCAAUUUCUUUAACCUAUUUAAGAUUCUGUGUCUUCUCUAUAAUUGAUACUAAAAAAAAAUUACUGUUUCUAUUUCUACUUGGACUGAAAGAAACACUAACUCUUUAGCACAGAAAACUUAAUCUCAGCACAUGAGCACACUUGAGGUUCAUAGAGGAAGGGCAUCUAAGACAUAUAGCAUUCACAGUUUCAAGCCAUCAGCAGCAAAGAGCCCUCCUACAUAGAAAUUGCAAUUAUGGUGGAACAUCGUCUCUUAUAAUAAACAAAAAUUAGGGAGAAAUAUUAUGGAUUAAGAAGAUUAAAAUAUGCAGAAAACAAUGAACAUGCUAACAUUUCACAUUUGAUUCUGAAGAAAGGGCAUUUUCAGGGCAAUAUCUGCAAAUACAUUAGGAGCCUCAGCAGUCACCCAGGUGAAGGUAGAGCAGAGGGGAAUCAAGAAAUAUUUAGUAAUAAUCAGACCUCUUGCUUGCCUGAAGCUGAGCCUCAGUGGGCAGGUGUCUCUUAGCAAUUUGUACCUUUGUAUGGAAUAUCACAGUGCUCCAACAGGAUCUUAAGUCCUCCGACUCAGGAAUUUCAACAGUUCAUCUGUGGAGCCUAGAGAGUCCUGAAAUGUCCAUCCAUCUAGAUGAAUCAAAAAGUUCACUCAUAGUUUUGGAAACCAGAGGCUCUGUGCAUUUAAUUAUGUUAUUAACAGAACAGGUGAGCCCUGCCUUCAAUGACCUGGGUUUCCCAGGUUUAGCCUGACCUUUUAGAAUGUAUGCUUGUUGAUCUGUAUCAGGAAAGACAAAAAUGUAGGGGAAAAGAGUUUGGUCCCUCCAAUUUUUUCUGUUAGAAUUCUUGUGUGAAUUCUGAGAGGAGAUGAAAUUAUUUAUUUAUUUGCUUCAAAACCUUCAUCACUAUCUUCACUUAUACAGUGUUAUUUUCUUUCAUUGAAAAGCUUGCCUCUGUUUUUCACCCUUCUCCACUUGGCACACUGGUGAACUCUUGGUGACAUGGAUCCUAUACUGAAAAGAGUAGAGUUUUAUUAUUCCUGCUAAGCUCCUUGAUGGCUUCAGGAUCUUGGCAUCGAGGGAAAAUCUCCUGUCAUUUGUUAUUGUUGUACCCCUUUAUUCUUUUCUUCUCUGAGUGCUGUGUUUAUUUUAAGGACAAGGACAAAUAUUGGGAUUUGGUAGAAUAUCCUGCCAAGAGAAAGCACAUG